GAGUUUGAUCCUGGCUCAGGACGAACGCUGGCGGCGUGCCUAAUACAUGCAAGUUGAGCGAUGAAGAUUGGUGCUUGCACCAAUUUGAAGAGCAGCGAACGGGUGAGUAACGCGUGGGGAAUCUGCCUUUGAGCGGGGGACAACAUUUGGAAACGAAUGCUAAUACCGCAUAAUAACUUUAAACAUAAGUUUUAAGUUUGAAAGAUGCAAUUGCAUCACUCAAAGAUGAUCCCGCGUUGUAUUAGCUAGUUGGUGAGGUAAAGGCUCACCAAGGCGAUGAUACAUAGCCGACCUGAGAGGGUGAUCGGCCACAUUGGGACUGAGACACGGCCCAAACUCCUACGGGAGGCAGCAGUAGGGAAUCUUCGGCAAUGGACGAAAGUCUGACCGAGCAACGCCGCGUGAGUGAAGAAGGUUUUCGGAUCGUAAAACUCUGUUGGUAGAGAAGAACGUUGGUGAGAGUGGAAAGCUCAUCAAGUGACGGUAACUACCCAGAAAGGGACGGCUAACUACGUGCCAGCAGCCGCGGCAAUACGUAGGUCCCGAGCGUUGUCCGGAUUUAUUGGGCGUAAAGCGAGCGCAGGUGGUUUAUUAAGUCUGGUGUAAAAGGCAGUGGCUCAACCAUUGUAUGCAUUGGAAACUGGUAGACUUGAGUGCAGGAGAGGAGAGUGGAAUUCCAUGUGUAGCGGUGAAAUGCGUAGAUAUAUGGAGGAACACCGGUGGCGAAAGCGGCUCUCUGGCC
rnacentral:rRNA from 1 species